UAAUACAGAGACUGCAAGCGUUAUUCGGAUUCACUGGGCGUAAAGGGUGCGCAGGCGGCCAAGUGUGUCAGGUGUGAAAUCCCGGGGCUUAACUCCGGAACUGCGCCUGAAACUACUUGGCUAGAGCAUUGGAGAGGGAAGUGGAAUUCACGGUGUAGCAGUGAAAUGCGUAGAUAUCGUGAGGAACACCAGAGGCGAAGGCGACUUCCUGGACAAUUGCUGACGCUCAGGCACGAAAGCGUGGGGAGCCAAAGGG
rnacentral:rRNA from 1 species